rnacentral:rRNA from 1 species
GACAGAGGAUGCAAGCGUUAUCCGGAAUGAUUGGGCGUAAAGCGUCUGUAGGUGGCUUUUCAAGUCCGCCGUCAAAUCCCAGGGCUCAACCCUGGACGGGCGGUGGAAACUACCAAGCUGGAAUACGGUAGGGGCAGAGGGAAUUUCCGGUGGAGCGGUGAAAUGCGUAGAGAUCGGGAAGAACACCAACGGCGAAAGCACUCUGCUGGGCCGACACUGACACUGAGAUACGAAAGCGUGGGGAGCAAAUGGG